rnacentral:rRNA from 1 species
AGUGGAUGGGGAGCAACCUAGUUGUGCGUGUGUAAAGGUAGUGCCAAGAAAAGCGGUGAUCAUGAUGAAAAUCAAUUCCCGGUACCCGAAACCGACACAGGUGGGCAAGUAGAGAAUACUAAGGGGCGCGAGGUAACUCUCUCCAAGGAACUCGGCAAAAUGACCCCGUAACUUAGGGAGAAGGGGUGCCACCGAGAGGUGGUCGCAGUGAAGAGGCCCAGGCGACUGUUUAGCAAAAACAUAGGUCUCUGCAAACUCGAAAGAGGAGGUAUAGGGGCUGACGCCUGCCCAGUGCCGGAAGGUUAAAGAAGUUGGUCAGUCUUAGGAUGAAGCUAGCGACUGAAGCCCCGGUGAACGGCGGCCGUAACUAUAACGGUCCUAAGGUAGCGAAAUUCCUUGUCGGGUAAGUUCCGACCCGCACGAAAGGCGUAACGAUCUGGGCGCUGUCUCGGAGAGAGGCUCGGCGAAAUAGGAUUGUCUGUGAAGAUACGGACUACCUGCAUUUGGACAGAAAGACCCUAUGAAGCUUUACUAUAGCUUGGAAUUGUGUUCGGGCUUCCUGUGCGCAGGAUAGGUGGGAGGCGUAGAAGGUAUUCUUGUGGGGAUACUGGAGCCAACGGUGAGAUACCACUCUCAGGAGGCUAGAAUUCUAACUUAAUUAAGGACAGUUUCAGGUGGGUAGUUUGACUGGGGCGGUCGCCUCCAAAAAGGUAACGGAGGCGUACAAAGGUUCCCUCAGACUGGUUGGAAAUCAGUCGAAGAGUGCAAAGGCAGAAGGGUGCUUGACUGCGAGAAGUACAGUUCGAGCAGGGUGGAAACACGGUCUUAGUGAUCCGACGGUGCUGUGUGGAAGGGCCGUCGUUCAACGGAUAAAAGUUACUCUAGGAUAACAGGCUGAUCUCCCCCAAGAGUUCACAUCGACGGGGAGGUUUGGCACCUCCAUGUCGGCUCAUCGCAACCUGGGGCGGAAGUACGUCCCAAGGGUUGGGCUGUUCGCCCAUUAAAGCGGUACGUGAGCUGGGUUCAGAACGUCGUGAGACAGUUCGGUCCAUAUCCGAUGUAGGCGUGAGAAUAUUGAGAGGAGCCUUCCUUAGUACGAGAGGACCGGGAAGGACGCACCGCUGGUGUACCUGUUAUGAUGCCAAUUGUAAACGCAGGGUAGCCAAGUGCGGAGAGGAUAACCGCUGAAAGCAUCUAAGUGGGAAGCCCACCUCAAGAUGAGUAUUCUGGUGUAAGGUCACGGGAAGACGACCCGUAAAUAGGCACGAGGCGGAAGUGCAGAGAUGUAUGAAGCCGAAGUGUACUAAUAGACCGUCGGCUUGACC